ACCAAUUUGGUCAAACCAAAGCCUAUAUGAGUCGGUGUCCCAAAUAUCAUGUUUGGCGACAACAUGGGAUUCGAUAUUCGAAUCGUAGUGACAUACAGUUCACUAGAUUGACUCAUGAAUUUCUCCAAGAUGCGCUUCAGUUCGCAUUCAUGAGGAGGUAUACACAAAAGAAUUCUUGUUCAUUCUCACAAUGUGUUUUCAAAUGAAAACCAUUAGCACGAAUGUCUUUAAAACUUAACAUGGUUCCUUAGAAUGUUGUGGAUAGUUCCACUAUCUGCGAAGCACUCAAUGUCUCUAUGAGACAUAUCUACAAGGAGUAGAUAGGCGAGUAAAUAGUUCCACUUGAACUAUUUAGAAGGAUUGAAAGAAGCUACGAAAAUCUGCAAUCCCGAGAGUGCAUAAAAAAUUUCCGCGUAGAAUGACCUUUGCGCACUAAAACAGCCAUAACUUCUUCGUUAAAAUAAAUAUGGACGAACCGUGAAAAGUUCUGAAAACUAGACUCAUAGAGCUUUCCAAUGAUAUAAAGCUCACUGUCUGGUUCGUCCGGAGCUGUUCACAAAGCUCAAACGAAGUUGACUGUCCAGAAGGGACAGAUUGCUGUUUUUCGCAGAUUUGGCAUGUGCGAAGCUGUGAAGCUUGCAGGUGGCGUGUAGGCUUUUGCCUUAGCCAAAAGUGACGUGUGUAUGAUCAAAACCAAGUCCUUUCGAUCGUUCUAAGGUCGUAAACUCCAUGACUAGUUAGCAAAAGCUCCCUGACAUGAACAUAAACUAACUCAGAGGACCUAGAGGAUCCGAUUAUGAUGAUAAUUUUCCAGCUUUGAUAAGUCUUCAACN
rnacentral:lncRNA from 1 species